GCCUGAGUGGCUCGGUGGGUUAAGCAUCUGACUUUGGAUCAGGUCAUGAUCUCAUGGUUCGUGAGUUUGAGCCCCACUUUGGGUG
rnacentral:tRNA from 1 species